CAUAUUGCCCUUAUCCUACUCCUCCCCCUCCGUGUCCCCCAACAUUUCCACCAAAACACCCUCCGCAUGUAAAGCCACCUUUCCACCCCAAACCACCGCAUCACAAGCCACCCCAUGUCAAACCACCGCACAAGCCCCCGUAUGUUCCUAAACCACCUUACACACCAAGGCCUAAACCGCCUUACACGCCAAAACCACCUUAUACGCCAACCCCUAAGCCACCAUAUUUCCCCAAACCACCUUACACACCAAGGCCUAAGCCACCGUAUGCGCCAAAACCACCUUAUACGCCAACCCCUAAGCCACCCUAUUUCCCCAAACCACCUUACACACCAAGUCCCAAAACCACCUUACACCCCAACUCCUAAGCCACCGUAUGUCCCUAAACCACCGUAUGUACCAUCACCACCUUAUACCCCUCGCCCUAGACCACCGUAUGUACCAUCGCCACCUUAUACCCCUAGUCCUAAACCACCGUAUGUGCCAUCACCACCUUAUACCCCCAGCCCUACCCCACCAUAUGUACCAUCACCACCGUAUACCCCAAGCCCUACCCCGCCAUAUGUACCAUCACCACCGUAUACCCCAAGCCCUAGCCCACCACCACCACCAAGUGGAACACCGUGUCCUCCGCCGCCGCCACCAACUUGUCCCAUUGAUACUCUCAAG
rnacentral:lncRNA from 1 species